rnacentral:lncRNA from 13 species
GAAUUACGAGCUCCUCGAUUUUUCGCGUACUCCAAACUCCAAAUUAGGAAGUGGAAAACGAAGGAGAGACAAGGAUACAACGCAUAUAUCAUACGUUUUUCGCAGUUGCCAGCCUGUUUGCCGAACGACCACCUCGAUGACAAAAGGGGUGUGACUUCCGAAACGCUGGCACACCAUGUCUAUUCCCACCACGGUCGGAACGCUCCGAGCCGUUUGGCGCGGCAGCUGCACGAAGGGUGAAUACCGUCUCCUUCUACCUGUCUCUCAGGUCAUCUGUUGUGUGUAUUAGUGUAUAUAGACAUAUUAAUAAAUACGAAUAGUCUUCCAACACAUUUCAACUUCAAAUUUAACGGACUUUUAGACCAGCAAACACAUAACCCUGGCAGUAUAGCAGUUGACGUCGAACCGUACAGUUGAAUAUUCGCUACAUUUUCCUCAAAAUUAUGAAUCGCCAAAAGGGUUCAAGAGAUUUAAGAAAAUCAGACAAUUUAAGAAAAUCGA